GCUUGAGCACGUAGGUGGGUUUGUAAGUCAGAUGUGAAAGCCUUCUGUUCAACGGAAGAAUUGCAUCUGAAACUACAAGUCUUGAGUGUAGGAGGGGAGAAUGGAACUUCUGGUGGAGCGGUGAGAUGCGUAGAUAUCAGAAGGAACGCCGGCGGCGAAAGCGAUUCUCUGGCCUAUUACUGACACUCAGUGUGCGAAAGCUAGGGGAGCAAACGGGAUUAGAUACCCCGGUAGUCCUAGCCGUAAACGAUGGGCACUAAGUAGAGGGGAUUACCGAUGUUCUCUCUGCCGUAGCUAACGCAUUAAGUGCCCCGCCUGGGGAGUACGGCCGCAAGGCUAAAACUCAAAAGAAUUGACGGGGGCUCGCACAAGCGGUGGAGCAUGUGGCUUAAUUCGAUGCAACGCGAAGAACCUUACCGGGGCUUGACAUGGUAGAAGUAGGAACCCGAAAGGGUAACGAACGGUAUCCAGUCCGUGACUAUCACAGGUGUUGCAUGGCUGUCGUCAGCUCGUGUCGUGAGACGUUGGGUUAAGUCCCCUAACGAGCGAAACCCUUGUUUUUAGUUACCAGCGGGUUAUGCCGGGUACUCUAGAAAGACUGCCGUCGUCAAGACGGAGGAAGGUGGGGAUGACGUCAAGUCAUCAUGGCCCUUAUGCCCCGGGCUGCACACGUGCUACAAUGGUCGGUACAAACGGAAGCGAAGCCGAGAGGUGAAGCGAAUCCAAGC
rnacentral:rRNA from 1 species